GACGAACGCUGGCGGCGUGCUUAACACAUGCAAGUCGAACGGAAAGGCCCUGCUUUUGUGGGGUGCUCGAGUGGCGAACGGGUGAGUAACACGUGAGUAACCUGCCCUUGACUUUGGGAUAACUUCAGGAAACUGGGGCUAAUACCGGAUAGGAGCUCCUGCUGCAUGGUGGGGGUUGGAAAGUUUCGGCGGUUGGGGAUGGACUCGCGGCUUAUCAGCUUGUUGGUGGGGUAGUGGCUUACCAAGGCUUUGACGGGUAGCCGGCCUGAGAGGGUGACCGGCCACAUUGGGACUGAGAUACGGCCCAGACGCCUACGGGAGGAAGCAGUGGGGAAUAUUGCACAAUGGGCGGAAGCCGGAUGCAGCAACGCCGCGUGCGGGAGGACGGCCUUCGGGUUGUAAACCGCUUUCGCCUGUGACGAAGCGUGAGGGACGGUAAUGGGUAAAGAAACACCGGCUAACUACGU
rnacentral:rRNA from 1 species